ensembl:lncRNA
GGCCCCCGGCAUCGCCGCGCCGUGGUAGGCGCCUCCGGGGGCGGGCUGUGGCCCGGCUCGGGGAGCGGAGCCUGCCGGUACUCGUGCGGCCCUGCGGGGCUGUCCGUCUCCGGGUCGCUCCUUUGCAGCUCUUCCCGCUUCGGCUUUUCCUUCGUGUUCGCGCAGCGCUCUGUUGGCGGGGCUGACGGACAAAGGGCGGUGUGGGAGCGGGGUUGUCGGGCUGAGCCUGGCGGGGCAGCUGCCUGAUGUGCGCCCGUCUGACUCCUGUGCCGGGGAGAGCUGUGGAGAAAGGCGAGGCUUUGUGCUUUGGAGCCCCGUCCUGCGGCCUCGCUGGGCUGUGAGGGGCCCGUCCUGUGCUGGGGAGGGCGUGGGAGAGCACAGGGAGACCAGCGGCAGGGAGAGCUGCAGGUUGGCAUAACGGCCCUGCGGGUUUAACUGAAACGAGGGGUGAAACGCCACUCUUAGUUCUUCAGUGAAGUGCUACAGCACAUAACGUUGGAUUUCUUUCAUAUAGCUUGUUAUAAGAACAUACGUUGUAUAAUCAAUGAGUAUAUAGACGUAAAAUCAGUGACAAUACAGAGAAGAAUACUGGGCUUACCAAAAAAAAGACUCCACGAGGAGCCAUCUCCAGGGAGAGACCCCUCCCCAGCGGCAGUCAGCCCUGGAAUGGGCUCUAGCAGAGGUGCAGCCUGGCUGCAGCCCUUCCACUCACACAGCUCAACUGCCUUCACCUGUGCUCCCACGGCUGACUCAGCGCUCGCCUCAGGUGGUCAAUCAGAGGUUCAGGCCGUGAUUCAACAGUUCCUGGAGCAGCACGCCAGCACUGUUUCCUAGAACCUGUCGCUUACUGUGCAGGCUGAACAAAUGCCUAGUUUCACUGGGCCCAGGUGAGAACAUCUGAUUAGGAGUUCUCAUCUAAAUAAGGUAUGAAAUUCCCAGCCAGCUCUCCAGUGAGGGCUGAAUACAUGUGAAGAGAGCAGCAAAAUGUGUGUACCUCCAUCGAAUCUCUGUAGGUAAGCAUUAUCUUGACACUUUCAGCUGGUUUUCAGAGGUGUAUUAAGAACAGCUUAAAGAUACAAAGCACAUUUUCACAUUCUUGUUUGAAAGAUGGACACAGAAGUAUUAUGCAGGUGGUACUUGAACCACAUCCCUUGGCUUCUAACCUUCACUGUCUUUUUGGUCGAGCCUCAGUUAUAAUUUUACUAAGAAAUAUAUUGAAUAUGCUCAAAUUGAUGUUAACUUCCAUUGUCACCAAAGGAGGGCAUUUAAAACCGUGAAUACUAUCACAGGAAGACUGAGCUGUUGAUUUGUAACGGUGAUUUUGCUUUAAUAUGCACUUCUGCCACGUUGAAGUUCUCUAAGUUUAAUCGCUGUGUGAUAAGAAGAGGCAGCUUGUAGACAGGAUAUUAAACCUUGAUUUCUAUCAUACCAAACAAUUGCUGUAUCUUCACCACUUCUUAAAACUGACAUCCUUUCCUUUCAGGUUGACGUGUCCUACUGUAUUAUUUAAGACUUGAUUAUUGCAGUUGAAAUUGGGUUGUUUUUUUUUAGUGCAAAACUAUGUACUUUAAUGGCUGUAUUUCAUCCAUCUUCACUGUGAAUCUGAAUCUAACUUGAUGUCUCACAAACUGCCCAGUUGAUGCUUUCCUGGCCAGGUUUCCAUGUGAACAGGGUGAGCACACAGCUAUGUAGUGUGUCACCAAUCCAAUUGCAGGCAGCACAGUGCUUGGGAAAAGCUUUACCUGGUGUUCAUCAUGAGUAGGAGUCGUCCCCACCUGUGAAGCCUGGGUUCCUGAUGGAGAAGUUGCUGAUCCUCCUCACCUGUGUCAUCUGAGUGGUUUAGAGGAAUCAUGCCAUCGGACACAGAUCAGUAAUGCUUGUUGCUUGAUCCAACUGCUGUAUAGCUGAUGAAUUCAUGGAUUUAAGACAAAUAAUCCGUAUUUCAUUACUAGCAAGUGCUAGAAAUAAAAAUGUACUCUGCACUAUUGCUUGGAAAAACAAAUCCUGAAGUCGUAAGAGAGGAUUAAAGUUGGAAAAAAAUCUCUCAAGAGAAAAACGAAGGGAGUAAUGACAUCUGCUUAGCAGCAUCCAGCCCCUCAGCCUGCAGCACGGACCUCUGGAGCCCUUACACACGGAAUAAAAGGGGAUGCAGUGAGUGAGGAGCAGCAGAACUGCAAGCAGAGCAGCGCUACUGGUGUAAGAUGGCAUUAGGAAGAGUGGAGUUUUGUUAAUGGGUCAUGGAAAGUAGGUUCUACCUCUCAUAAUGCAAACUGUCUUAUUUUUGUUUCAUUUCCUUCCCAGGGUGGUGUUCUACCAUGGCAGUAAACAAAGCCAUCGGUUGCAGACUUCUGCACCAAUUCAGGUGGCUCCAUUGAAGGUGUAAGAUUGGAGGUGUGAGGUUUCUCAGCAGUGGGACGUUACCACCUAGCUGUGAGCUGGCUUUGCUCUGGUGGGCGUCCUGCUGUUCCCCCACAGUGAGCUGUGUUCUGGUUCUGUUGGAAGGCUGCCCGGUCCUUCUGCCGGGUUUAUAUUCCACUUAAACGCGUGGCUAUUCAAGUGACCAACCUUUUGGAGUGUCUCGUUUGGCUUUGCCUUAAACGUUUGCUGCUCCUACCCCUUCCCCCCUUCCUACAGAGGCCUUUUUAUAGGUGGCCUGUAGUGCCAUAUAGUUUUUGCUUAGAGUUGAGCAUUUUCCUAAGCUUAUGGGGUUAACCACGAUUAUGGGAGAGUUCUUGAAGCAUUUUUGAAUGUAAUGCUUUUAUUUAAUGUUUGUAAGCAAGUUCAAAGGUGUCAGAUACAAAUGUCCCAGUAUGGCACAAGGACGAGACGUGGCAUUGGGGAUUGGGCUGUUCUGUUGCUAGUGCACACAAAUGUGGCAAUGAACUUUUUCCCUCGUGCUUUAGAGCAUUAAAACAGCUGUUUUGGAUCAGAGCAAAGUGGGCAGCAGCUGUGGCAGUGAUCUGCCUGUGAUUAGUGGGCUCAGGCACUCGUGGAGUCACAGAUGGGCUUUGUGCUCUUAAGGGCACUGUGCUUUUAGGGCUCCCGCUUUUGCACCAGUGUGCUUCUUAAAGUGCUAAAAGUUUUCCCAGCUGGAAGUCCUCACAGCAUCACACAGCAAAGAGCUCUGGGUAUCAGCAUCCACACAAAGGCACCGCGCAGUCCGCCUGUGUUCCAAUGGGCACAAACAGCACUGAUUGCGUAUUAAAGCCAUUGUCACCAUCACAACCUGGGAGGAGAGCAGAGUGCCAGGACGCUGCAGGACCCCGAAGAUUAUGUCUUAUAAAUAAACAGCUCAAAUUUGUCUGAAGCCUCAGCGUGCGAUGUAUGGAGCGUUGCAUUCUGACCGUGUUACGCCAAGAUUGCUGCUAAUGGCUUUUGGCAGCACAGCCACCAAGUCAGAAAGCUGAGAUGAUUGCAGAUUGUCUGCUUCCAUACACAUCAUACAGCUGCCUGGAAGACGGUGGAGGCAGCGCCUAAUUGAUGUUUGUUCUUGUCAAUGCGUGAUCGGGUUUUGAUGCAAGGUUCUCCUCUUUUGUGCUCUUCUGGUCAAAUUUUCGUUUAAAUUUGUAUUCUGUGCUGAACAGUAGUGCCAGCAGAACCAUAAGCGAGGAGUUUAAAUUUAGGAUGUGUUGCAGAAAUCCAAAAAUGCUUUACUGUUUGGGUAAAAACGUUUUUGUGUUUUUUUUUCCCCUUCAGCUGCUGCUCUGCAUGCCGUAAAACAGCAAUCCGAAGGGUUUGCUCUGAAAGCAUCUCUUUGUGCCCUGGGCCAGUGACCCCACUGCUGUGCCAGUAAAUCAUGGCAAGCUGGAGGAAUCUCCCUGAUUUCUGAGCUCCUAAUCCCGCAAAG